ensembl:lncRNA
GAAGAAGCCUUAGGCGCCUGCUGCUGUGAUAUUCACAAGAGUUCUAACAGUUCGGACAUUGUGUGAAUCAGAGGUUUUUCCGCUGGUGUAGUGCUAUACCGUCUUGCUCUUUUUCUGUACAGCUGGGCUCAGCAGGGAUGGAGGAGCUUGCAGCACAAAUGUGUCCUGGUUACCAUGGCAACAGCCUGGCAUUCUCUAGACAGGCAGGGCAGGAGAUCUGAUGCAUUCUGUCAGAAAAACCCUUCAGCUGCAGGAUAAUUCACAGUUUCAGAGUGAGGAGGGCCAUUAAAGGAACACAGACAGGAG